UGGGCAGCUUCCCCAGAAAGGCCAGAUGGUCAGUGAGUGGCACAGUCCCUUACAUUUUCUGGGUUGUUCCGUGGCUUAUUCCUCAUUUCCCCUGCCGCUUUGUGAACAAGAUGUGUUUUACUCAAGGAUCCAAGGAUUCAGGGGGUCCCGCCACGCCGCGUCAGAGAGGCUGGGGUUGGCUUGUGCCAGGUUCAGGCUUGUUUGGGGGAGAAAUCCUGACACAAAUUCGGAGGAACAGGAGCAGCAUGGGAAGUGAAGACGCCGAAUGUUGACUCUCAGGACCUUCUAGAAGAAUGAGCUGGGACCCACUCUCCGAGUCCUGCCGCAACCAGAGCCCGAGUUGAGAUUUGGCCUGUUUUCUAAUUUCUCAUGAACUCGUGAACAUCCGAAAUACUUUUAAAUUGAUUGCAGAUUUUACUAAAAGCUCAUUCAUGGGAUCCCUCUGUGACUGCUGCUGGUCAAAGGACAUACCAAGGCCACUUCUCAGUGUGGAUUCGUAGACCUGCCCGAGUUUUACAUUCACCACACAUACUUGCAAGGCUCCUUUCUGUCACCGUAAGAGAGAAGACAGACCUGAUGCACAUGCAAGUUUCUGUAACUUCAAGAUUUGUUGUGUAGGUCUCUGUUAACUUUUCCCACCCAGUUGAAAAUAUCAUCCCACCUUGAGUGGUUCCAUAAAAAAUGUAAUCUAUGUGCACCAGUAUGAUUUCAUUUCGUUAUACUGGA